rnacentral:lncRNA from 1 species
UUGCACACCACACCACAAAAAGCUAAGUUGGUACACUUUUUAGAGUCAUAGGAUUUCUUUUAAAAGGGGCCUAAUCCAUCACCUAUUAUAAGUUAUCCUAUUUGUGUUUUUGCAAAUAUGUUGAGUUCAACAUUUGAGUUGCUCAAUCAGACAAAUUACAAUUCUUUUGUUGCCUUCAUUUUCUGCAAUUUCAUCAUUGUCAUUCUACUAGUAAAUAGCUCAAAGACUAGUCAUGAUAAUAAACAUGUUUCACUUCCCAUGGACAAGAACAAUGGUUUAGAAAAUGCAGUUAAAGGAAUGAGCAAUUGCAACGAAAAUGAAACGAUUGAUCGCGAGGAAGAAGAUGAGCUAACAAGAAAAGUUGAAGAAUUCAUUCAGAAGGUAAAUAGAUGUUGGAAAGCAGAAAAUUUGAGUACAUAUAAAUAAAUAGUUUGGUAAGUAAGAGGAAUAGACAAGAGGGGUUGCUCUGACGGUAAGCAACUCCCACUUUCAACCGAGAGGUUUUGAGUUCGAGUCUCCCCAAGAGCAAGGUGAGAAGUUUUUGAAGAGAAGGAUGCCGGUGGUCUAUUUGGAAACAGCCUCUCUACCCAAGGGUAGGGGUAAGGUCUGCGUACACACUACCCUCCCCAGACCCGAUCAAGUGAAAUUAUACUGGGUUGUUGUUGUUGUUGUAAGAGGAAUGCAGAAUUAGAGGCGAAUUCAAAAUUUAGAAUCUAUGAGUUCAGGAUGAGAUUGAUUAUAUUAUAAUGCAUAUAUUUUGAACUUAUGUUUGAGUAUGUAUACAUUAUUCUAACUUAAAGUAAUAGAUUUAGUUGAAUUCUGUGCAAAACGGAGCAUUUCAACUUCUGUUCAUCCAUUUUUGGAGGCUUAAUUACUAGUUUUUGGACAACAGGAAAGAGACUUCGAAAACUUCUCCUUCAUUUACCUCUUUAUGUGGAAAUAUUUUUAGAAAGAGAAUCUCCACAUUCUCUGUUAAUAUGUAAAAGUUAAAACUCGAUAAGUAAUUCAAUCACUCUGCCGGACAGUGGCAGAGUUACUUUAUGACAAGAGGGGUUGCUUUGAUAGUAAGCGACCUCCACUUUCAACGGAGAGGUUGUGAGUUCGAGUCUCCCCAAGAGCAAGGUGGAAAAUUCUUGGAGGGAAGGAUGACGGAGGUCUAUUUGGAAACAGCCUCUCUACCCAAGGGUAGGGGUAAGGUGUACGUACCCACUACCCUCCCCAAACUCCACUAACUAAGAUUAUACUGGGUUGUUGGUGUUGUUGUUAGCCUCUAAUUUCUUCUUGUGCUUACUUGAUCCGCCUUAGUGAAAUUCUUGACUCUAUUAUUACUGAAUGUAAUGCUCUUUCUAUAAUUUAACUGUAAGGAAAUUAAUAAUAAUUAAACAAGGAAGUAUUUAUAAGUACAAUAAAUACCCAUGAAGCAUACUCUCUCCGUUUUAAAAAAAUAAUUCAGUCUGCUCCAAAAAAAAAAUAAUAUUUGUAAGAAUUUGGACAUAAUUUAAGUUGAACUACCCAUUUUAUUCUUAUAAUGACAAAAGUUUUACAGUAACACAAAUAUUAUGACAUAUUUUAGACCAUAAAUUUUUAUAGUCAUAUAAUUGUUAUGGUAUAUCUAGGACCAAAAAUUUUUAAAAAAAGAAGGUCAAAUACAUAUACAACCCAUUCAACUUGGCCCCAUUUUUCAUUUUGGUACUUUACCUCAACCUUGUUCCAUUUUGACCCUCCAACUCUAUUUUAUAUGUUUCAUUUUAGCCCUCCAAUUCUAUUUCUUAUGUUACACUUUAACACAAAAGUUGAAAUCAGUGCAAAAAAUAUAGCGCACACAAAUAUGAGGUGUAAUAAAUAUCCAAUUAAAUGUUGCCACCUGAUUUUUUCAUCCAUAUCAAAUGGGUCAAUAUUACUAAAAUACACGAACUCGGUCGUAUUUUUUCAUCCACUGUUGCCCCAUUGUGAUUCUCAAAGUGAUACCUAGCCAUCCAGAAAAUUUCAAUCUUUUGCAAUUUUGUUAUUCGUUUAUUUAUUCUGAUUUUUUGUGGGUUUAUUUCAUCUAAGCUUGAAGUUUGAAGUGAAUCUAUGUCUCAAAGAAAAUUACUUUUUCAUAAUGGAUUUGUUCUUGUGAAUUUCAAGUUGAACUGAAAUCAUCUGGACACCAAACAAUCCAGGUCAGCGGUUUUAUGGGUGUAAAUUUGACAAAGUAAGUGAACCAUUUUCAGAUUUCAUUUUGAGUAUUAUCAUUUUCUUGUGUAAAUAAGAAGCGGACUUAAUUUUACCCAAAUACGAUCGAGUUCAGGUAUUUUAGUAUUUACCGGUUUGAUAUAGAUAAAAAAACCAAGUAGCAAUAUUUAAUUAGAUAUUUAUUACACCUCAUAUUCGUGUAUACACACAUGCUAUAUUUUUUGCAAUGGUUUCAACUUUUGUGUUACUGUGGAAUAUAUAAGAUAGAGUUGAUGGCUCAAAAUGAAACAUAUUAAAUAGAGUUUGAGGGCCAAAAUGAAAAAAGAUUGAGAUAGAUUGCUCAAAUGAAAAAUGGUACCAAGUUGAAUGGGUUGUAUAUGCAUUUACAACAACAACAACCCAGUAUAAUCCCACUUAGUGGGGUCUGAGGAGGGUAGUAUGUACGCAGNNNNNNNNNNNNNNNNNNNNNNNNNNNNNNNNNNNNNNNNNNNNNNNNNNNNNNNNNNNNNNNNNNNNNNNNNNNNNNNNNNNNNNNNNNNNNNNNNNNNNNNNNNNNNNNNNNNNNNNNNNNNNNNNNNNNNNNNNNNNNNNNNNNNNNNNNNNNNNNNNNNNNNNNNNNNNNNNNNNNNNNNNNNNNNNNNNNNNNNNNNNNNNNNNGCCUCUACCCUUGGGUAGAGAGGCUGUUUCCAAAUAGACCCCUGACAUCCUUCCCUCCAAGAACUUACCACCUUGCUCUUGGGGAGACUCGAAUUCACAACCUCUCGGUUGGAAGUGGGGGUUACUUACCAUCAGAGCAACCCUUCUUGUCUAGGUUGUAUAUGUAUUUAGAAUUGAUGGGUCAAAAUGAAACAUAUUAAAUAGAGUUGGAGGGCCAAAAUGAAAAAAGAUUGAGAUAGAUUGCUCAAAUCAAAAAUGGUACCAAGUUGAAUGGGUUGUAUAUGUAUUUACAACAACAAUAACAACCCAGUAUAAUCCCACUUAGUGGGGUCUGAGGAGGGUAGUAUGUACGCAGACCUUACCUCUACCCUUGGGUAGAGAAGCUGUUUCCAAAUAGACCCCUGGCAUCCUUCCCUCCAAGAACUUACCACCUUGCUCUUGGGGAGACUCGAAUUCAUAACCUCUCCGUUGGAAGUGAAGGUUACUUACCAUCAGAGCAACCCCUCUUGUCUAGAUUGUAUAUGUAUUUAGCCUUUAAAAAAAGGAAAAAAAUUAUUAUUAUUAUUAUUUCUUUAAAUACUAUGUCCAGCUAAAUUAUGCCAUAUAAAUGGAAACAAAUAUGAUGGCAGGAACAAUGUGUUGUCAAUAUCAUUAUCCUAUGUAGAAGUGGUUGAUGUUAUUGCAAAUUUACUACUCUUCGUCUGCCAACAAAGUUGGUAGAUACCAAAAGAAACAAAGAAAUGGCUAAGAAUUCAGAGAAUCAAUAACACGUAUCUCACUCAAUUAUGAAUUGAGAAAAAAUUGACUUGUAAACCAGCUAUUUAUACAGUUAGGUUUUGUGUCAUAUCAAUGGCCAGAGGAGAUUCAGGAUUUGAAUUUUAUGGGUUUUUAUUAUAAUAUUAAAGUAAUAUACAAUAAUAAAUGGAUUCACAAUUAUAUAUUUAUUAGUAUUUAAUGGACUUUUUAAUAAAAAUACCGAGUCUAUGCAAAAGUUAUUGGGUUCCCGGAAACCCGGCAGGUAUACUUUACAUCCGCCACUGUCAAUGACGGAUGUAAUUUAUUAGCCAUAUCAUAUUCCUAUCUAUCUGUCUGUCUAUAUAUACACACACACGAUGGCGCGCCAGAAUUUUCGUUAAGGGGCGUCAAAUAUAUAUAUGUAAACAUACCAGAAAAUUAAGGGGAGCAAAUACAUAGUAUAUAUACAUAAUUUAUUUUCUUUAACAAUACUCUAAUACAUAUAUACAGUUUUCAAACAUUCAAAUUCAUUUACUAUCAAAAUCCACAAGUAAAGAGCAAAAGACUAUAUGAUCUCCGAUUCCAUAUAUUUACAAGUAAAUAAAGCUAUUCAUACAUUUAAAUAUCAUAGAAUAAACAUUCCUAAAGCUUGGCUAAUAGUUACAAGUUGAUAUGCCUAAGAUGUAGUUUAGAUAGCAGAGAAAAUUUGUUUAGACAUAAUGAGAGGAAACAAGAACGUCAUACUCAGAUAUCUAUAAGUGAAAAAAUUACUUUUCCUCUUAACCAAUCUUUCUUUUGGAUUUGUUCAUACUAGGCUUUGUUUUCGAGUUGUAACGAGCCGUCCCUCAUCAAUUUUAAGCUGAGGCUGUUAAACCGUUCACGAGAAUACUGUCGCGAUGCUUUUCUCCAAUCCGUACCAGCCUUCAUCAUCGCAGCAAAUUCCUCGUAACUUAUGCGACCAUCCUGCAUUAUGACAAAAUGAGACACAGCUGAGCUCCCAAACUCCACGACAAGCUAGUCCAAACAAGUCGGAUAUUUGACAUAUAUUCAAGGCAUGUUGUUAUUAACGAGGGUCUAUCGGAAACAGUGUCUCUGCCUGUCCAGGGUAGGGGUAAGGCUGUGUACAUCCUACCCUCCCCAAACCCCACUUGUGAGAUUACAAUGGGUUGUUGUUAUUGUUGUUGUUGUACUUCAAGGCAAGUUGUUAGAAAUGAACUAUUUGAGAGCAAAGGGAAAACUUUCAAGGACAAUUUGAUAGUAAGUGCACAUAAACAGACACAAAUACUGACCUUAUCCGUGUCAACAUCAUGCAUAAUGGCAUUGAUGACUUCCUCACUAGUGUUGUCGUCCUCAUCACUCAAGGCACAACGCAGCUCUUCGAUUUCUAUGUAACCACUUUGGUUUUUGUCGAAAAAUGAAAAUGCUUUGUGCAGGUGUUCAUCAUUAGCCAUCUUUCUAAGAUGAACAGAUACAGCAACGAACUCUGCAUAAUUUAAACUUCCAUCUCCAUCAACAUCGGCCUGUAAAACCAAUACAGGAGAUAAAAACAUAAGAAAACAAAUAUUUGAAAUAAAAUAAAAUGAAGCCAAAAGAAUCUAAAAGCACAAAAACGUUUUCUCGGAAAAUAAUAAGCACCGAAUUCAGGUUUUCAACGCAAGCAAAAUGUCAAGAUCCUUUGGGUAUAGAUUUUUCUGCACUGAAACAAUCAUCAGAUAGAUGUACAACAUUACAACUUAAAUUGACCAAGUAUGCUUUGCAAUUAAUCAAAAUCCUGAUAGCAGGAUCAAGGACAUAAGUGUAGUGUGAAAUUCCCUUCAACUCUCCAUGGAUACAAAGGUGUCCGCUAGCUAUAUAAGUACUCUACAUCUUUCCACUCCCCAUGGAUACAAAGGGCAUGACAUGGCUAAUAUGCGGGUUUCUGAGGACAUGGCCCUUGGUAGGAAAGUCUGGAGGUCUAGUAUCAGGGUUGUAGGAUAGGGACUCCUAGAGUUUUUCGUACCCCUCACCCGGGGUUGGGUGAGGCUUGGCAGGGCUAUCCAUAAAUGAUUUGUGUAUUUGAUUGUGUCUUCCUUAUGGUAGUUAUUUAUGGUAGUUACUGUCUGAUAUUAUUGCAUGCUAUUNNNNNNNNNNNNNNNNNNNNNNNNNNNNNNNNNNNNNNNNNNNNNNNNNNNNNNNNNNNNNNNNNNNNNNNNNNNNNNNNNNNNNNNNNNNNNNNNNNNNNNNNNNNNNNNNNNNNNNNNNNNNNNNNNNNNNNNNNNNNNNNNNNNNNNNNNNNNNNNNNNNNNNNNUCCCUUCACUGAGCCGAGGGUCGAUUGGAAACAGCCUCUCUGCCUUUUCGGGUAGGGGUAAGGCCCGUCUACGUAUUACCCUCCACAGACCCCACUUUGUGCAACUAUACUGGGUAGUUGUUGUUGUUGUUUAUGGAUACAAAGGGCAGCCCGGUGCACUAAGCUCCGGCUAUGCGCAGGGUCUAGAGAAGGGCCGGACCACAAGGGUCUGUUGUACGCAGUAUUACCCUGCAUUUCUGUAAGAGGUUAUUUCCAUGGCUCGAACCCCUGACCUCCUAGUCACAUAGCAACAACUAACCAGUUACGCCAACGCUACCUUUCUCUCCAUGGAUACACAUUAAGAAUUUUUUAAAACUAGAUAGGACAUGGCCAUAUCAUCUCAGACACCUGCCUUCUCCUCGAGGCAAAAAGUUCAAAGAGAGCCCAACGGUGCAGCAGGCCAUACUAUUAGCAGCUUCAAUGUUUUGUUACCUCCUGGUAGAGCGAUAAGAGAAUCAAUAGAGACAAGAAACAGCGCAUGAGAAUGCUUACAGCUUCCAUGAGAAUCUGAAGAUCAGCAUCAGAGGUCUGAUGGCCAAGCUUCUGCAAACCAUCUUUAAGUUCUCCAAGGUUUAUCUGGCCCUUCUUUCCAGUAUCCAUCAUUUCAAAUGCGUCCCUCAUUCCUGCCACUUCCUCCGCAGACAAAAACUCAGCUAUAACCUGUGCAUGAAAGACAAGAAAGUAAAGAUAUCACGGAAAUAAAAUAAAAACAAAACUUGGUCAAAGGACAGGAUCUUCUCUCUCCUUUUUUAUGAUGAAAAUAAAAUUAUAAACUAUUAUAAAGUAGCACAAGGCAAGUGCAAUAAAUAGUCUGACAAUCUUCUCUCCUUAUUUCGAGCAUUAAGAUAAAGCAUGUGAAUUCAUCUUUUCUUGGAUAGUGGAGAAUCUGGAGCUUACAGAUAUAAUUGUUUAUAUCUAAAGUUUAUAUUUACCGUUAGAGCUUUUUUCUUGAGCUUAUUCAUCACUGAAAACUGCUUGAGCCUUGCUUUUACAGUCUCGCCCAAUGAGACGUUCGGUGCUUUCUUUAUAUUUUGUAACCAGGGAUGCUCUGCAUCCACAUGAGUCAAAGCCGCCAAAAAAGACAUUUAGAGAGAGAGAGACAGAAAAACAACAGAUGAAUGAAGUCAAGUAUCUCAAUGUUCCAGAAACAUUACCAAGAACUCGCUCAGCUGUGAGCCGUCGACUUGGAUCUGGAUCAAGCAUUUUCUUUACAAGAUCCUUUGCAUUAUCAGAAACUUUAGGCCAUGGAUCCCUCUUGAAAUCAAUCACAGAACGAAUAAUUGCUUGGGCUACUCCUUGUUCAGUCUCUAUAUAUAUUAAAAAUAACUUAAAAGUAUCAACAACAACAACAACAACACAACCCAGUAUAAUCCCACUUAGUGGGGUCUGGGGAGGGUAGUAUGUACGCAGACCUUACCCCUACCCUUGGGUAGAGAGGCUGUUUCCAAAUAGACCCCCGGCAUCCUUCCCUCCAAGAAGAGGUUGGGGAGACUCGAACUCACAACCUCUCGGUUGGAAGUGGUGGUUGCUUACCAUCAGAGCAACCCCUCUUGUCUAACUUAAAAGUAUCAAGAGAACAAAUUGUGAAACCGAAAAUAUCUGCAUCUACGUGUUUUAAUGAUUAUACAAAUGAAGCAACAAAAGAAGCAGACCUGCCCAGAAGGGUGGAACACCACAAAGAAGAAUGUAGAGUAUAACUCCAGCACUCCAGACGUCAACCUCUGGUCCAUAAUUACGCUUUAGAACCUCUGGAGCCAUGUAAUAAGGACUUCCAACUAUCUCAUUAAAGCGUUCCCCUGUUAAAUAAAAUAAAUAUUAUUCCAAAUGUUUAAUAUUUUUUUAGCAUGAUAAAAAGGGCUCAAACAGACAGUUUCAUUACUAAUUCCAUUACCAGGUUUAAAGAAAACUGACAACCCAAAGUCAAUUGCUUUCAGUGGAGCUGUUUCUUUCUUGUUACCAAAAAGAAAGUUCUCAGGUUUGAGAUCACGAUGCAUAACCCCAUGCCUGUGACACAUCUGCAAUACCAUUUGAAUUUUAUAAAUUGAUUAUUGCCGUACUAAAACCAGAGAGCGAAACUUGACCAUAGAUGUAAAUCAUAAUCAUUUCCACCCUUCAACAGAAAAUUACUACUUCUUCCUUGCUCAUUGAAAAUCAAUGCAUUGGGCAAUCCUUUGCAAGACAGAUUCAUGAGUUACAUAUGAAAUAAGAUUCCUACCAAUAUACAAGUACCAUGCGGAGAAGGCCAAAUUAAUAGUUGUUUCAGAAAAGCCGACCAUACUUCAGUAUACAAACUAAAAUUGAUUUCCAUUAUCAUUUCCUAAAAAGUACAGCUUUUCUAAACUUUGUUUGCAACAACCAAAUUCUAUGGUAGGCCGCUAGCUAAUACUCCUUGAAAACAAGUAACUCUUCCACUUAAAAGAGUUAGAACUUAGAACAUAAGAUAACCUCUUCUCAUUAUAAUUCGGCUGUAAGGGAACUUCCAUGAUACAUAAAAAACAAAUUAGGGACUAAGAAGCUGAUAAAAACUAUACCUGGACAACUUCAACGACAGUCCUCAAAAUUCCAGCGGCUGCCCUCUCGGUAUAGUGACCUCUAGCUACGAUACGGUCAAACAACUCACCACCCUCACACAGUUCCAUCACAAUGUGCACUGCAUUAUCAUCCUCAUAUGUAUCCUUCAAAGUCACAAUAUUAGGAUGUCUAGGCAAAUGCUUCAUGAUCUCAACCUCUCUUCUAACAUCAUCGAUGUCGACUGCAGUCCUUAACUUCUUUUUGGAUAUUGAUUUGCAGGCGUACUUAUCGCCUGUUUCCACUUCAGUGCAUAGGUAAGUAACCCCAAAUUCUCCUCUUCCGAGCUCACAACCCAAAUCAUACUUGUCGUGUAUGUUCUGCCCUGUUGGUUCUUUCAGUACAACAAGCUUAACUCCACCCCCUGAUGCGCCAUAAUCAAUUGAAAAGGGGUUUGGUUUGUUCUUUUUGUUCUUCUUUUUUUCAGCAGAUUUACCGGGUUUCACACAACAAUUACCCAUGAUGCUUUACAAGAUCAACUCCUGAAAAAUAUCAAAUAAUCAAAUAAAAAUCAAAAAUUGAUUCUUGAAAUAACUACUGUUUUUAAAAAGAAUGGUUGAAAUGAGUAGUAAAUUAAAUAUGAUACUUCUGCCAAUAAAAACAGCAAAAAAUCAAAAUUUUCAAAGAUUUCAAGAAUAGGAGAUCUCCAAGAGUGGAAAUUAUUCUGAUUCUGAGAAAAGCUACUACUUUUCAUUCCAGAAAAUACAAUUAAAAUAAUAGGAAAAAUGGGUAAUAAAUGAAAAUUUCCAGAAACUAUGAAGUUUUAAGAACAACGAAAUGCAGCAGAAAGGCCAAAACCUCACCUCAAAAUGUUGUUUUUUCCUCUACGGAGAAAAUCCUGAAAAUAUGAUAAAGCUAAAGGGGUUGAUUCUUGAAAUAACUAUUUUUUGAAUAAAUGAUUCUUGAAAUAACUAUUAAUUGCACAUGGUUUUUUUCUCAUAAAAACAAUAAACAACAAUCAAAUCCAAGCCAUAUAAUCAAAUGAUUCAAAGAUUUCAAGAAAAUAAGAUCUCCAAGAAUCUUGGAAACUAAUCGAUAUAUUAAAAAUAUUUUUUUUAAAAUAGCUCAACACAGACGAAACCUACAAAAAUAUAAAGCUUAAAGAACAGUUAAAUGCAACAGAAAUCAAAUAAGGAAAAAAAAACCCCACCUAAGAAAUGUUGAACUUUUUCCUCUGAAUUAUGGGUUUUUAAUAAAUUGAUUAAUUUCAAGAAACAAUAAGAAACAUUGAUUCAGAGAAAAAAUCUCCAACAAUUUUGGAACUUAAUCAAUCUAUUAAAAAAAUAUUAGAAAGCUAAUUAUAGAGGAACCCCACAAAGCUAUGAAGCUUAAAGAACAAUGAAAUGAAGCAAAAAAUUAUAAUAACAAUAAUAAUAAUAUAAAAAAAAGUGGAUAAACUCACCUGAAAAAUGUUGAUUUUUUCCUCUGUAUAAUUGUGUUUGUGUAUUGAUAUUAUAGGCCAAAAAAGAAAAGCUAAAAUGUAGAAAAGAAGAAAAAAAGAGAAAAAGAUAGGAAGAAAUCAUGAAAAAAAUCGGCCAUGGGCAGAAGAGAGAGAGUCAAAAAAGCUCUUUUGCAGAGGCUUUUCUCUCCUGCAAUCCUCUCUCUCUCUCCUGUAUCUCUUCUUCUGUCUCUAUUAGCCUUUUUUUUCAAAUUUCUAUCUCAAGUAAUUUUUCACUUUUCUUUUACAUAAAAUUAAAGAGUACGCAGUAACUUUUUUUUUUGUGUCUCAAAAAUUAAAUAUCCUACAACUUUGACAAGAAAAAAAUUAGUUUAUAUUUUGAUUUUUUUUUUUUGAGGUGGCGUUUAUAAAAAUUUAUGCUUAUCUAAUAAAAGUAAAAUUAUCGGAUAUUUAGUACCUCUCACCAACACGUAUAUGGAAGGAGAUAAAGCCUUCAAACCAUGAAUUAGUAGUAUAUUUUUACUUUUCUGUCACAUAAAAAAAAAUUUUUUUGGUGUCAAAUUAUUAUCCUACUUCAACUUCAAACAACUUGAAGAAAUGAUUUUUAACUAACUAACUGCUAUUUUUGCAUAAUUUUAAUGGUAAUAUCUGAAUAAGCUUACGCGGAUCUCAACAAGUUAUCAUCAGAUAACUCUAUCCAAUAGUGGAUGGGCAUAAUCAAUGUGCUGCCAAGGAUUCGAUCUUACAUCAUUUUGGUAUUUUCUUCUUUGCUCCACACGCAUUUAUUGUCUCCAUUUUAACAUAACAUAGACAACGAGAUGAAGAUUUAAUGUGCGUUUGUAUAAAGAGUAGCAGAAGAAAAAUAUUAUUCGGAGACAUUUUGCUAGUUCAAGAUCGCUAAAUAAUAUUGGAUGAUUCAACUAAGGAAAAGGAAGAGAAGAAAAGUUUUGGAGAGGAGAACUUUAUUUUAGGAAAGAAGGCUUUCUUGAUUUUGGAUUCAUAAUAAAUGUCUAAGGCUACUCCUAUUUAUACUUGUCUAGGGAUGAUUCUAAAUACAAAAAUAAUCUAGAUAAUUCUAUCACUUUCUACUAAUAUCUUCCUUAAAUAUCCAAGACUCUAGAAUAUCUAGAUUUUUCUUAUCUUCCCAUUCUAGAAUAUCUAGAUAUGUCUACUAAAUAAAUAUCAAGGAUACUACACUAGGACAUUCUAAAGAAUUCAAUGUUUCUCCAAAAAAUUAAUUUUACUUUAUUUUUCUCACACUCCUCCUUAAAGUGAUUUUUUGGCAUCUAUCCCAAGCUUGUCGAGGAAGAACUCAACCAAUGCUUUGGGACGUGUCUUGGUAAAGAUCUCAACACUGUUUUCCUGGCUCGUCUUGCUUCCCCAAAUACUCAAGGUUCUUCAAUUGGUCUUGCAAAGGAACAUGAGUAUGUGCUGACAAAAUUUUCAUCUCUGAAACGAGGUGGCUUGACAAUAGUUCGUUUUGGUCUUCCCGAACCACAUGAAUCAUCUUCUUGUUGAGUUUCAUGUUGUUGAGUUCUCGGGCUCCCCCUUUCUCUUAGUUCCUUGGCCACUAUGUUAUCUAAAGAGGUUUUGAUCUUCCCGAACCACAUGAAUCAUCUUCUUGUUGAGCUAAGACAAUUCAAUCACUCCCCAUUUCUCUUAGCUCCUCAACAACUGUAUUAUCUAAAGAAGUACUUGUGAUAGGCAGAUUUGAUGCUUCAGGGUUCAUGGGUUUAUAACAUGCCCCUUCUACUUCUUUCAUCUCUGAAACGAGCUGGCUUGACAAUAGUUCGUUUUGAUCUUCCCGAACCACAUGAAUCAUCUUCUUGUUGAGCUAAGACAAUUCAAUCACUCCCCAUUUCUCUUAGCUCCUCAACAACUGUAUUAUCUAAAGAAGUACUUGUGAUAGGCAGAUUUGAUGCUUCAGGGUUUAUAGGUUUAUAACUUGCCCCUUCUUGCACAACUCCAUAAUACAAAGAGACCUCAUCGAAUAUGACAUCCCUUGAAACAACAAAGGGAUAAAUUUUAGGAUCCAUGCAUUUCCAUCCUUUUUGCCUUUCAUCAUAUUCGAGAAAGAUGCAUUUCCUUGCCUUGGCAUCCAACUUGCUCCGUUGAGAAUCCGGAAUGUGAACAUAACAAAUAGAGCCAAAGACCCUGAGGUGUUUCACGCUAGAAUUUUCUACAAAUAGUAAUUCAUAAGGAGACUUCAUAUUGUUUGGAGAAAGCGACAUCCGAUUAAUCACGUACACUGCACAUUUUGCUUUCAGCCAACAAGGCUCCAGGUAUGUUAGACUUUUCUCCAAACAUUAAUUCAUAGGGAGACUUCAUAUUGUUUGGAGAAAGCGACAUCCUGUUAAUUACGUACGAUGCACAUUUCAUACCUUCAGUCCACAAGGAUAUAGGUAAAUUCUUGGCAUGAAGCCAGCUCUUACAUGUCUCAAUUAAGUGUCGGGUUUUCCUUUCAGCCACUCCAUUUUGUUGUGGUGUAUCAGCGCAUGUCAUUUCUCUUUUAAUGCCAUAUUGACGACAAAAGGAAAGAAACUCAUCUAAUGUGAAAUCACCGCUAUUAUCAGUUCGCAGCCGUCUUAUUCUGGAAUUGAGUUCACCUUCAACUGUUUCUUUGAACUCCACAAACUUACUGAAAAAUUUUGACUUAUGCUUCACAAAAUAAACCCAAGUGAAUCUAGUAAAAUCAUCAAUGAAAAUUAGCAUAUAAGAAUAGCCUGAAAAUUAAGGAGUUCUCGUUGGCCCCAUCAAGUCACUAUGAAUAAGUUCUAGUGGGGCAUUACACCUUGACAAGAAUUUUUUGAAUGGAAGACGAUGUGCCUUUCCUUAUUGACAUCCUUCACAAACCUCUCCUCCACCAAAAAUUUUUAAGUUAGGCAAACAUUUUACUAGAUUCAACUUUACCAUGGCUUUUAAUUUAUCCAUGCUUAAAUGUUCAAGUCUAGCAUGCCAAAGAUGUGCAUUAUCAUUGAUACUCAUCUUCUUAAUAUAUGAAUUAGAGGCAGAUAAGACAUAAAUCAUUAACUCUCUUACCUGAGUGAACGAUAUCUACCUUGAGCACCUUGAUAUUUCGAAGGAACUUCACAUCUCGUGGGCCAAAUAGAAAAUAGUUUCCAGCAUCUACAGCGUUUGCAAUUGAAAAUAGAUUUUUCUUCAUUCCUGGAACAUGAAAGACACCGUUGAGGAUGAUAGUGUCUUUUUGAUUCUCGUUGAUCACAACAAUGCCUUCCUUCUCAAUAUUAUGGAAUGUAUUAUCUACUGUAACAAUGAAAUCACGUCCAUUGUAUUCGUGAAAGGUGGAGAAUUUGGAUUGAUCUCCGGUAAGAUGGUGCUCACAUCCUGAAUCUACGAUCCAGUAUUUUUCAAAAUUUAUGGAAGCUAUGGCAUUUAUUGCUCGAGUCUCCGCUACGAAGCAAUUUCCCCAAUAUUCAUCUUUAUUUUCUUGUUUAGCAACUUCCUUGGUUUGAGCCAUGUUUGUCUCUUUGGCUCGAUAAUAUCUUUUUAUAUGUCCGACUUUGCCACAAUGGUAAUAUUUUAAAAGCUUUUUACCGUUACUAGAAGACCCCCCCCCCCUUCUUUCCCCACAAGCUUGAACCACUUGAGGACUGAAAGUGCAUGCUAUCUCUUGAUUUCCCUUCAUAGUUUCUCUUAUCGGCAACAAGAGCAUUUCCUUCCCCUUCUUUGAUAGAUACACCAGCCAUCUCUUUGGCUAGUAGCUCUUGUGACGACAACAAAUUCUCAAAUUCUUCCAAAUAUGGUUGUUGAACCACUCCUUGAAUCGAUGUAACAAAGGGAAUAUAUUCUAUCUUUAAACCACGAAUAAUGAUUCUUCUUAUUCGUGCUUCAGAGAUAGCCUCAUCCGAAUUCAAUAGAGAAAUUUCAGAACACAGAUUUUUAACCUUCAAGAAAUACUCGGAAAUAGAAAGAUUACCUUGAGUGAUGUUAGCUCACUCAUUCUCCAAAAUUUGUAGUCGAGCUUCAUCCUUCUUAUUGAACAACCGAUUGAAUGUGCUCCAUAUUUCAUGAGCUGAUUUACACCUUAUAAUAUGAUCAAAUAAAUUAGGAGAGAUAGAUCUCUUUAGGAUAAAUUUCGCCUUAGCAUUAAUCUGCUUCUACUUCUUACGUGUGUUGCUAUUUUUCUGUGUGUCAACAGGAGGACUUUUGUUACUCCAUUGAAAACUUCUUACAAAUCCUCACCAUCAAGGUAUGACUCCAUACAAGUCUUCCAUACCUUGUAGUUAGACUGGUUCAAUAACUCCAUCUCCAGUCCAUUAGAACGACCACCCAAAUCCAUUUGAGAAACCUGUUGAAUCAACCACUAAACCGACCUUGAAAUCCAGAAGCCGAAUUAUGCGAACCGCAAGGUUUGUGAUGUAUCCUUUAUGGUUGGUGAACGGAUUUUGCUUCAGAUCUCACCUAUGAAAGGCGUCAUGAGGUUUGGAAAGAAAGGUAAGUUGAGCCCGAGGUUCAUUGGACCUUUUGAGAUUUUGAGGCAGAUUGGGAAGGUUGAUUAUGAGCUUGCCCUACCUCCUAGUUUAGCCGGGGUUCAUCCAGUAUUUCAUGUUUAGAUGCUACGGAGGUAUUACAGUGACCCGUCUCACGUGUUGGAGUUCACUUCAGUCCAGUUGGACAAUCAUUUGUCCUAUGUUAAGGAUCCAGUUGUGAUAUUGGAUAGGUAGGUUCGAAAGCUCAGGUCAAAGGAUAUAGCUUCAGUAAAGGUUCAGUGGCGGGGGCAGCCGGCCAAGGAGGGGACCUGGGAGCACUUCAGUCCAGUUGGACAAUCAUUUGUCCUAUGUUAAGGAUCCAGUUGUGAUAUUGGAUAGGUAGGUUCGAAAGCUCAGGUCAAAGGAUAUAGCUUCAGUAAAGGUUCAGUGGCGGGGUCAGCCGGCCAAGGAAGGGACUUGGGAGACCGAGCGGGAUAUGCGCAGCCGGUACCCUCAUCAUUUUGCUACUUCAAGUAUGUUCUCUAUGCUCGUUCGAGGACGAACAAAUAUUUAAGUGUAUGAGGAUGUGACGACCCGGCUAGUCGUCCCCGUUCCCCCAUUAACUUCUUCCCCUAAGUUCAUUUAUGCUAUUUUGGUUUGUCGGGAUGUUCGGUAAUAGAAUUCGGAGUGUUUUGAGAAACUUAAUCCCUAAAUGAGAACUUAAGCGCAGGAAAAUGGUUUGUAAUCAGAAUAGUGUAAAGACGACCUCAGAAUGGAACUCCGAUGGUUCCGCUAGCUCUGUUAAGUGAUUUCGGGGUUGGGAGUGUGUUCGGAAUAUAUUUUGGAUGUCUGUAGCACAUUUAGGCUAGAAAUGCUGAAAGUUAGAAUUUUGAAGCUUCCGGUUCGAUUGUGAAAUUUUGAUCCUAGGGUCAGAACGGGAUUUCGAAAGUUGUUGUAGCACCGUCAUGUCAUUUGGGACGUGCAUGCAAAAUUUCAUGUCAAUCGGACAUGUUUUGGUUAGGUUUUGAAUCGAAAGCAAGUUUGGUUAAGUUUUUGAAGUUUUAAGCUCAAAUCAUUGAUUAAAUUGUGUUUCCGGCGUUGUUUUAGGUAAUUAAAGGAUUGGUACAAGUUUGGAUGAUGUUAAAGGAUAGGUUUGUAGGUUUGGUUGAGGUCCCGGGGGCCUCGUGUGUGUUUCGGAUGCUCUACGGUGGUUUUAGGAGUUAGAAUGGAAUUAAUGUUGCACCUUCUGUUGUUUCCACUUCUGCGGCAUGGGGACCGCGGAAGCGGCACCGCAAAAGCGGAUUGGCAAUCGCAGGAGUGGAAGGGGGCCAUAAGCCCAGGAACCGCAGAAGAGGUCGUGUUUCCGCAGAGGCAGACUCGAUUCUGCAAGUGGUGGACCGCAGAAGCGGAAUCUGAGGGAUUAUUGAGGACAGAAAAAGCGAUGGAUUCUCCACAAAUGCAGGACAGCAGAAGCGGUCCCUGGUCCGCAAAAGCGGAAAUCACUGUUCAGUUAAGAGAAAAUACGAGGGUUUAAUUUCAUAAGUUGAAAAAUCAAUUGAGGGCUCCAGAGAAGGCGAAUUUGAGUGUGUUUUGAAGAAAAUAUUAUUGGGUAACGUUUCUAUGAUUCUUUCUAGCUAUAUUCCAUCAAUUAGUAGUUAAAUCCACCUUUAAAUUUGAAAUUUGAAUAAAAAAUUGGAUAAUUUGGGUAAAACUUCUUUGGCUAAUCUAUUGAGUUUUGAAGGGGCAUUUGACCUUCGAUUUGGGAGAUUUCUAUAUGGUUAGACUCGUGAUAGUACGAGGUUUCUGAAAAUGUGAAAAUUAUUUGAUCAAUUGGUAGUUAAAUCCACCUUUUAAAUUCGAAAUUUGGAUCAAAAAUUGGAUAAUUUGGGUAAAACUUCUUUGGCUAAACUAUUGAGUUUUGAAGAGGCAUUUGACCUUCGAUUUGGGAGAUUUUUAUAUGGUUAGAUUCAUGAGAGUACAAGGUUUCCGAAAAUGUGAAAAUUAUUCGAUUCCGAGAUGUUGGCCUGAGGGGCAUUUUGGUCAUUUAACCUAUUUUCGUGCCUUAGCUUUAAUUUGAAUUGUGUAAUUAGUUACUUGCGAUGUUAUUUACAAUGUGUAAUUGGUUUGAAAGCUUCUGCAACAACUAUAGGGGUAUCAAAUUAAUAAGUCACACCAUGAAGGUAUGGGAGUGGGUGAUCGAGGUGAGGGUGAGGGAUGUGACAUUUAUAUAUGUGAACCAGUUCGGUUUCAUGCCGGGUCGCUCCACCGCAAAAGCUAUCCACCUUGUCAGGCGGCUGGUGGAGCAGUUCAGGGAUAAGAAGAAGGACCUGCACAUGGUGCCUAUCGACUUAGAGAAGGCGUAUGACAAGGUCCCAAGGGAGGUGCUAUGAAGGGGUUUGGAGGCGAAGAGCGUGCCUGAAGCCGACAUCAGAGUAAUCAAGGACAUGUACGAUGGAGCUAAGACAAGGGUUAGGACGGUGGUUGAUGACUCAGACCAUUUUCGAGUGGUUAUGGGGCUUCAUCAAGGAUAGGCGCUUAGCCCUCUCUUGUUUGCCUUGGUGAUGGAUGCGCUAACCCGAUAUAUUCAAGGGGAUGUGCCUUGGUGUAUGCUAUUUGCUGAUGACAUAGUCUUGNNNNNNNNNNNNNNNNNNNNNNNNNNNNNNNNNNNNNNNNNNNNNNNNNNNNNNNNNNNNNNNNNNNNNNNNNNNNNNNNNNNNNNNNNNNNNNNNNNNNNNNNNNNNNNNNNNNNNNNNNNNNNNNNNNNNNNNGGGUUUCAAAAUAAGCAGAUCUAAGACAGAAUACCUGGAGUGCAAGUUUAGCGCCGAGCCGAGCGAAGUAGGAAGGGACGUGAUGAUUGGAUCUCAGGUCUUCGCCAAGAGGGACAGUGUCAGAUAUCUUGGCGGUGAUUCAGGGGGACAGAGAGAUUGACGGGGACUUCACUUCAUCGUAUUGGAGCGGGGUGGUCAAAGUGGAGACUUGCAUCAGGAGUCAUGUGUGAUAAGAAAGUUCCACAGAAACUCAAGGGGAAAUUUAAUAGAGCUGUGGUUAGACAUGCAAUGUUGUAUGGGGUGGAGUACUGGCUAGUGAAGAACUCUCAUGUUCAGAGAAUGAAGGUUGCGGAGAUGAGGAUGCUCAGGAUCCUUGACAGAAAAGUUUGGAGGUCUAGUAUCAGGGUUGUAGGCUAGGGGAUCCUAGAGUUUUUGUACUCCUCACCCGGGGUUGGAUGAGGCUUGGCAGGGCUAUCCUUAGAUGAUUUGUGUUUUGGAGUGUGUCUCCCUUAUGGUAGUUAUUUGUUGUAGUUACUGUAUGAUAUUAUUGCAUGAUAUCUUAUUUAUGGUUCUUAUGUUUAGAUAAUUAUUUACGCUAUUUUUACUGGAGUUAAUAAUGCUCUUUUGUUUUUUGUUUUUGUUUUUUCUUUCCUUCACUGAGCCGAGGGUUGAUUGGAAACAGCCUCUCUGCCCUUUCGGGUAGGGGUAAGGCUCGUCUNNNNNNNNNNNNNNNNNNNNNNNNNNNNNNNGAGUUUUUGUACUCCUCACCCGGGGUUGGAUGAGGCUUGGCAGGGCUAUCCUUAGAUGAUUUGUGUUUUGGAGUGUGUCUCCCUUAUGGUAGUUAUUUGUUGUAGUUACUGUAUGAUAUUAUUGCAUGAUAUCUUAUUUAUGGUUCUUAUGUUUAGAUAAUUAUUUACGCUAUUUUUACUGGAGUUAAUAAUGCUCUUUUGUUUUUGUUUUUGUUUUUUCAUUCCUUCACUGAGCCGAGGGUCAAUUGGAAACAGCUUCUCUACCCUUUCGGGUAGGGGUAAGGCUCGUCUACAUAUUACCCUCCCCAGACCCCACCUGGUGGGAAUAUACUGCGUAGUUGUUGUUGUUGUUGUUGUCAUUUAUCAAAACCUACAGAUAUGAACACACGUUUAGUUUAGUGCCUUGAGAAUGUGUUUCAACAAUAUGGUCUUGGGCAAUCCUCACCUCAUAAGCUAGCUUUUGGGGUUGAGUUAAUUGGUUUGAAUAGAUUUGGGUCACUCGGAGUCGGAUACUCGUUGCAACGACAGUUUUUCUUAGCAGUUUUAUACUGGUUCGAGGUAAGUAGCUUGUCUAACUUUGUGGGGAGGGGGGACCUCUCCCCUUAGGUUAUCCUUGCUGUUGUACUUGUGCUAAUUAUUGAAAAUUCACCUUACUUGGCUUAUUUAGUCUGUGUUUCUUCGUAUAUUUAACUGUUAAAAAUGCAAUGUCACUUGUUUUAGCAUAAGAAAAGCAUGUUAGUAAUUUAUUUGCUCUAUUUGACUAAAUUGCAAUAUCUGUCCUCUUUGUGAGCAUGCUAGGCCCUAGACCUUACAUGUUGUUGUACUUGGCUUCUUUCUGUUUAAUAUUGAAUUUUUGUGAAGUGUUUACUAUUGGGACUACAGAUUCGAUUCCCGAGACCUGUUAUUGAUACAAUGGACUACGGGUUCAAUUCACGGGAGAUCCUCUAUUAUAGAUAUGAUAGACUACGGGUUCAAUUCACGGGAUAUCCUCUGUUAUUGGUAUGACAGACUAUGGGUUCAAUUCCCGGGAGAUCCUUUGUUAUUGAUAUGACAAACUACGGGUUCAAUUCUCGAGAGAUCCUCAUAUAUUGGUAAAAAUGGACUGCGGGUUCAAUUCCUGGAGCUCCAUUUGGCAUCCUAACUUUUGAGUGAUUUUUUUCUUGUAUUUGUAGAUUGUAUUUCUAGCCGGUUCCACUUUACUUAUUGUCUUGCUAGAUAUUCGGGAUUUACUUCAUUAUCUACUGUUUUUAUUCCUAUAUUAUUUCUUAUGUUCAUCUCAGUAGGGCCUCAACCUUCCUCGUCACUACUCCACCGAGGUUAGGUUUGGCACUUACUGAGUACCACUGUGGUGUACUCAUCCUACUCUUCUGCACACUUUUGUUGUGCAGAUCCAGGUGCAUCCGGCCAGGCGUAUCAUCAGUGAGUUUGGAGCUUGCUAUCGGAGACUUGAGGUAUACUGCUGCGUCCGCUGACCAGAGAGUCUUCGUCUUUUCUAUCCUAGUUAGCAGUAAUGUUCCUUAUUAUUUCCGUUGUAUUAGACUCUUCAGACAUUAGAGCUGUAUAUACGUUUCUCUUAGACAUGUGUUGCCCGAGGGAUUCCAUGUUUUGGGAUGUUAUCUUUCAAAAGUGGUGUGUGCAAUGUAUGUGCUAAGUGGCAUAGUAUACAUUUCAUGUUCUAAUUAGAGUUUGUUAUUGUUUUAUUUUAGCACAUUAAAUUCGCAAUGUGAUAAGGCUUACUUAGUAGCGAAGACUGGGUGCCGUCAUGACAGGUUCACAAUUGGUGAACUAGAGUCGUGACAGGUAGAUCCUAAACUACGAAGCCUACCACCCCUUCUAUGUCUAACAAGGGCAUGAGGGAAGUUAUCUAAAAUAGGAGAUUUCCUAGAGUUAGGGUUUGAAGAAGACAUGAAGAGGACAAUUGAUAUGAAGAAGAAGUGAACAAUAUUGGGAAGAAUAAAGUGUUCAAUAAAACUUUAUGUGAAAGAAGACAAGAAAGAAAGUUGUAUUUAUAUAAGAGAACAACUGUCAAAGAGAAAAGUGUAAAGAUGGAAAGCCUAUAAUAAAGGUAACCGGCACUUCGUGAACAGUGGAGCCGUAAAAAGCCUUGAAAAGGGCUGCAAAACUGCAUCAUGGAGCAUUAAAUGAAAAAGACUAUUGAAAGGUCAAUCUUAUCAUAGCAUUAAUAAUGAUAGAAAUUCACUCUUAAUGAGAAUCCACUUCCCAAAUAUUCAAUUGAUGAAUAAAUGAAAAGUGGGGAGACUAUAUGUAUUGGGCGAAAUCAAGUUUUAUAUUAAAGAUGACAUGUCAGGAUACGUAGAUCAGUCAAACAAGCAAAGAUUUAAAAUUAGCCAAGAGACACGAGUAACAACAUAUGUGAGCAAAGGAAGCGAAAGAGGCACGGGCAAUUACUCAAGUGAUAUAGAACCCGUACCUAUUCAAGACAUUUAAAGCUCAAAGAUCAAGAAGAAUUAAGGGAAUGAAUCUGGUAGCCUAAGAAUGUCUAAAUGCAGUAUUUAACGAGUACUAAAUACUAAAAACGUUGGAGAGUAUUUAUUUAAUGUAAUGAUUAUGUAACGUUUCAUUUAAUGUCAUUAAUUGCUCAUAAUAGCCUUAUUAUAACAAAGGUAAGGCACAUGCCUCCAAAGUUACUAUAAAAAGGAGAAUGUUCAACACUUGUAGGGCACGAAAUAUUAUUAGAAUAUACUCUGAUGUACUUGAUUUCUAAUCAUAUUGUUCUCAAAAGUCUUUCUUUAUAUUCUUUUUUGAUUAUUAGUACCCCUUGUUCUUCUAAAUUUCUAUAUUCGACUAAAACCCUAUUUUUUGGUUAAACAAUUUCGAUAGCAUCAACCCUCUGAUGAGUGGUGAUUUUACCACUCAUUCUAGCCUUUUUUUCUUAGCUUAUAUGUCAUUUUAAGUACAAUGAGGUUGUUUAUAGUGGUUAUUAUUAGAUUUUCAGGUAAAUGAUGCUAUGAAGGGGUUUGAAUUGAAGUGACGUAGAAUUGAGCAAAAACAAGUUGAAACCAUGAAAAACCUUCAGUGAAGUCCGCUUCUAUGGAAGUUUGGUCGCAUAUGCGAUUUCUGCUUCUGCGGAUUCAUGGCCGCUUAUGCGGAAUUAGAGGAAUAGGAAAGAACCGCUUAUGCGGUUGAUAUUUCGCUUUUGCAGAACCGUAAAAGCGGUGGCUUCACCGCUUAUCCAAUCACUGCUACUAUUGAGGAUGUCCGCUUUUGCGAUGGAAUUUCUGCCUUUGCGGAACCUCUUCUGCGGUUGCUUUGCCGCAGAAGCAGAAGUCAUGCAUCAUGCCUACAGUAGAUUUGGCAUUUCACAUUUUCUCACCCCAAAUUAUUUUUAUACUCGUCCAAGCAGAUAUUUGGAACAUCUUUGGCUUAUUUUCAGUCCAUAGAGACUAGAGAGAACAAGUUUGAAGCUAGGGUUUUACACAAACACACUUGGGUCUUGAAUAUUAAAGCUUGUGGUUAAGAUUUUCUUACCCAUUUAUGUUUCUUUCUUCAUCUCCUUACUUUGUAUUGUUUAUCUAAGUGUGUAGUAUUUUAUCCAACACUUAAAUUUUGUUUAUGGAAAUAUUCAUAAUUAAAGUGUGGAUUUUAUACCUUGUUGUGCUUAUGUAUUGAAUGAUUUUUCUAUAUUUAUGAAGUGAGUUGUUGUUUCUUUAAUUAUUCUUGUUCUUUAAUAUUCCAAAGGGAUUAACUAACCCUAGGACUCGCCCAUUAACUCUGAAUUAAUUUUGAGAAAAAUAGUUUGGGGUUGUAAAGGAUUAAUUAACAAGAACUUGAGGCGUUAACCCUUAUUUUAUAGAUUCUACCUAGGAAUAUGAUUGAACUACUUGUAGCCUUUCGGGUGUGCUUAUUCUUCUAAUUAUGAUUAGGGAUAAUUCAAUUAGGACAUCUUGAUAGUCUUCGGAAGAAGCUAAUUAAGAAUUAUUAUCCGUGGCUAAUUAACAUAAACUCGCUCGUNNNNNNNNNNNNNNNNNNNNNNNNNNNNNNNNNNNNNNNNNNNNNNNNNNNNNNNNNNNNNNNNNAUUGAUAAAAUCGUGAAAUACAUUGGAUCAUUACUUGAGUGUAAUUCCCGAUGCUUUCAUACUUGUAGCCAUUGAUCAUUUUAUUUUCUUUCUAGGUUAGUUUACAUUUCCGCACUUUAGAUAUAAAAACAAAUUUCAACAAAUUUUUAGUGUUUGACACUGCACGACCAGCGAUAAUUUUCUUACAUUUCUAAUCGCCUACACAUUGUUCUCGGUGGGAUUCGAACCUGACUCAUAGUUGGAUAAAUUACAUUGAUGCGACCAUGUCUAUUUCUUUUUAGCGGUGGAUUUGGACAUCACCAAAAUUUGGCGCCAUUGCCAGGGAAACAAUUUGGCGUAAUUAGGUUGUUUGAGAAGUAAGCGAAAGUGCUUUGGUCCAAACUUGUGAAUAUUUGUGUAAUUAGUUUUCCUACCUUGGGUCUAUUUUUAUUGUUUGUUUCUUGUUUAUAUUCUUAUUUUUGAAAAAUGGCAUUAUAUAAUGGUAAUUGGUCGGAUGGUAGUUGUUCAUACUUUGAUGACCCAUGUCCUUAUUGUGGAGGACCACACUCGUGGCAAAAUUGUUUAAGUUCUCCCGGGGGUGUAUUGUGCGCACAAUCUAAUCCCCAUGGUUGGAGUAUUUGUGAUAAGUGUGGUUGCCAAAAUGGUCAUUGGGAUUAUUGUGCAGAUUUGACGUUCCCUUCCCCAAACCCCCACUAUGACGAGUUUUCAUGUUGUGAUGAGAACUAUAGGGCUAUGGAAAUGGAAGAAAGUGAGCUUGGACAAAACGGAGAGUUCAAGCUCAUGUUGGAGUGUCUACUUGAAGAAGAAAACAAGGAGCAAAAUGCCUUGGAACAUCUUUUGGAGACUAGUCUCCAAAAUGAUUUAACACUUCAAUGAUUGCACUCACAAAUGGAUGAAAUGAUCAAAGCCUCAAGGGUUCAAAGAGCCUUGGAAGUGAAUGAAAAGCAAAACCUUCCUUGGAGAUUGAAAGUGAAAACCUUUUCUUGGUACUUGAUCAAAACCAAGAAGAACUCCCAAAUGCUCAAAAUGAGAAAAUAAUGCUCAUGUUGGAGGCCAUUCUUGAAAAUGAGGAGAAGCACAACUUUGCACUCGAGGACUUGAAACAAGGCGUGAAUUACAAUGAUGAACAUAUCCGCACUUUGGAAAAUCAAAUGCAAAAUUUGGUUGAGGUUCACUAUGCCCAACAAUUUGAGUGUGUGGAAGAAAGCCAAGAAGAGUCCAAUUCCGAGGAAGAAAGUGAGCUUUACUUUGAGGAAUCAAGAAUUGAACAUCUGCCAACCGAAUCAAUGAGUAUUAGUGAUGCCGAGAAAAAAAUAGAAUUAGAGUCAACCGGUGUAAAUGCAAAUGUGGUUGAUAUUGACUCUAAUCCGGGGAGAAAAGGAGGAUGUUAAGAUAGAAAAAUUACAAAGUGAAGGUUUGAAGUCAUAUACCAAGCAUUUUUGAAUGUUGGAAUUGUGUGGUGACAUAAAAGUCAAACUACAUGAAUCAAUGAAGGAUUGUGAGGAAGAAAAGCUCAUGCCGUUCAUUCUGCAAUUUGAGGAGACAAGAAAGCAAGACGACAUCCCUCACUUGAAAGCCAAGAAGUGCAAAAUGAAGAUUUUAGGCAUUGGCUCAAUCAUCAACUUACCACCCCUCAUCGCUCGUGGUGACAAGCUUGAUUCCAAGCUAGGUUCCCAGUUCAUGUCAUCCAAGUGGCGAGAAAAGUGGUAAUGUUGUUUGAGUCGUGCCACGACGUUAAAUGCGGCGCUUGGUGGGAGGCAACCCAUCGUUUUUCAAAAAUUUUCAUCAUUUUUGAAUGUUUUUUAGAAUAUCUUAGGAUAUUAUUUUGACAAAUCUGCCAAGUUUUAGAUUUUUUGGAGUUGAUUUGAGCAGGUCAGGAUGACCCGGAUGGCGAAAUUCAGUAGCUGCCAACACUAUGCAUGCAAUUUUUACUAAAACCGCUUCUGCGGUAUUUUGACCGCAUAUGCGGUAUUUUGACCGCAUCUGCGGUCUCGUAAAAGCGGAAAUUUUCAUGCAAAGGUGGCUCCCACCGCAUACGGGGCCAACAAUUCGCGUAUGCGGAACCGCAGAAGCGGCCAAAAAGUCGCGUAAGCGAAAAUUGCCCAUGUCUUAAUUGUUAAAAAAAUUUGAAAGGUUCAUUUGCCAAAAAUCAAAAGCUCACUGCUCCCCACCGCCCUAACUCCCCAAAAAUGAAAGAGACCUCAAAUAUUCAUUAAGCUUGCUCAUAAAUUCAUUUCUCUUGCUCGACUUCAGGUGUUAUCUUCCUUAUCCUCAUCCCUCACUUCUCAUUCUCAAAGUACAGAAGAAUACUUUUUAUUUUGUUUGAUGUCUUUUCUUCUUCCUUUUUUUAUUUUAAAUUCUUGUUGUUAGCUUUAGGAAGUGAGGAUUUGGUUGAGUGUAGACUUGUGUGUGCUGUGUAAAUGAACAAAAAUUAGGGGAAGUCUUGAGUACCCCAUUUUUGUGAAAGAAUGAGCAUCCUCACUCGCUCACAACGUGUUCGACACAAUGCGUGAGUGAGAAUCUAGUGCGAAGCAACACAACUUUAGUCUCAAUUGAACCAUGUGCUAUUAUAUUGCAAUAAUUUUGUUUCGGGUGCCAAAAUUUGGUUGAAAUUUAAAAAGAACAAAAAAAUGAAUAGGCAGUGUAUUUUUUUUAUUUUCUAAAGAAGACUGGAAAAAUCCCAUAAGCGGACGAAUAGCCGCAGAAGCGAAACCACUUUUCGGUGAAAUGAUCGCAGAAGCGAAAAAAAUAAAAAUAAAUUAAAAAAAAUUAGAGACCGUAGAAGCGGUUGGUUGACCGCAAAAGCAGAACCGCCUCUUCGGCUCUGCUUCCGUAGAAGCAGAAAUUGCCCUGUUUUCCCAAAAUAGUGGGUUUUCAAACAACGCUUCCCGGACUCAUUCGACCUAAUCUUUUGGCUCAAAUACAGUGUUUUAAAUUUCUUUACAUGAUUCAAUUGUCCGACUAAUUUUGUGAUGAUUCUUUGUAGGUGUUUUAAUUCAUACAUGGACCCAAACGCAAGCAAAUCGCACCUAGAAAUCCAAUAAGAGGGUGAUGAGCUCUUUGAUGAUACGCGCUUCAUGUCUACUUCAUGUGAGUGCCGAUAUUUGGACGACAUGGUCCAUAAAAAGAUCCUGCUCGAAAGGGGGAUACAUGAGGAGAAAUUGGCCAAAAAGCUCCUGGACUUCCAUGUAGGAUCUAUUCGUCCGGAUGGUCUUGCUUCAUUGCCACACCCUUCAAAGCCAAUGAGAUGUGGGUUCACGAGUUCUAUGCCAAUCUUAGGCGUACAAAUCUUGAUUAUCCAUAUAUUAUAAUCAGAGAACAAGUGGUGAGGUUUGUGGUUUGUGGUUAAACACAUCAAUGAUACUCUUGGAAUCCCCAACUAUACCUUGGAGCCGGCAGACGAGAAAAAUCAUUGUGAAAAUGGAGAGUGGCUUGUAUCCAAAAUCAUCUCCCCACAGUUGAGAGAGAAAUGGGAAACAAAAGGAGAGGUCUAAAAUCAACGGACUUCACUGCCGAGGCAAAAAGAUGGUUGCAUAUAGUGAGCAGCAGAGUAUGUCCGUGUGGGAAUGUCACUGAUGUCUCCUACACCCGGGCAUUGAUUGUAGCAUGCCUACUGGAUGGCAUUAAGGUUAAUGUGGGGCACUUCAUUCUUCAUGAGAUGAGGUAGUACAUGAGAGAGUACUCUAGAGAGAAAGAUGUGGUGUUGAUGUUUCCCUCAUUGAUUACGAUGCUAUGCACCAGAGCAUAGGCUGCCGUCUGUCCAACUGAUCGUUGGCUUCCAGCUGACAAACCUCUCCAUCCUUUGGAAGUGACAGGAGAGGGCACUGUUGUCAAGAGAAAAAAGAGGAAACUCAUCUCCACAGUCACCGGUUCUGAGCCAUCCUCUCAGGGACCAUUCGGGAUACUUAACUCCGAGCUUCAAUCAAUUAAAAAGUUAGUAUCGCAACUUCCAAGUGUGCAUUCCUCCUCACAUCCUGGCCCUUCUUACUUCUGUAGGGAAGACAUGCAGGGUUACUUGGAUGCUCAAAAAUGACAGGAAGAGAACAUGAAGAAAAUGACAGAAUCAAUGACCAAACUGGAGGGAGCCUAUGGUACUUUGGCCAAGGCCCAUGUUGACCUUCAGAAGGACUUUCAGAAGGAGAAUAUGAAGAACAAAAAGAAGAACAAAUUUAUGGUCAAGAUGUGGAGAGGCAUCAAAGCGAUUUACAAGUGGGGACGACCAAAUGGAAAGAUUCCAGUGGCAGCAGAAGAUGAUAGUAAGGAGUAUUCCUUAUUUCAAAGUCUGCAGGAGAUGGUGGCAAUGAUGAUGAUGAUGAUGAUGAUGAGGAGGAGGAGGAGGAGGAGGAGGAGGUCGACGAUGGUGGAUCCACGAGUGCAGUUCAGCACUGAUCAACCAUCCUCCCACCGUCUGCUAAUCUGACGCAAACCUCAGGGAGACCCUCAAACUCUUCUAUGCUUUAUAUGAGACAUUGUGCAGUGAGGACACUGUAAAGCUUUUAGUUGGGGUUGGCAAUUGUAGCACUGUAUUCAUAUUUUGGUAUAUUAUGUGCCCUUGCUGGGCUUGGUGUUGAUUAGUCAUGUUUUUGUAUUUUUAGUCUUUCUUCCAUUAUUUAUUUUCUUAGUAUAGAUUAUUUUCUUCUUAGUAGUAGUAGCUUCUUUUAUUUUAGUUACCUUUGUAGUAGUUUUUGUUUCUUUUAAUUUCAUUUCCUUAAAUAAAAUUUUCUUGGGUUUGUUUCCUGCUACGGUUCUUUCCCAAGGAACACUUUUGAAGUGAACCGGGUGACUUUUCCCAUGAUGGAUAGAUUGACAACUUUCUUAAUGGAAUUAGUCUUGUUUUUCUAGGAUGAGGCUUUUGGAUUAUUUGCUACAAAUAAUACUAGUCUCUUUUAUGCAAAUUUUAAAUUACGAAUAACCCUCCAAAAAGACGGUUUUGAACUUAAACAAGUAAGUGUACUAAUAACAUUAGUCUCUUGUGUGUAAGUUAUGAAUUGAGAAUACCCUUGCGAAAAAUUGGUUUGAAUUUAAGCAAGUAAGUUGCAUGGUGCAAAUUUGAUCUUGUGAUAACAUUUUGGCUCUUUUAGUGACUCUUUUCUCACUAGUUUGAUAUUGUUCUUGAAAAUUUUAUUAGAAAAUAAAAUUGAUCCAUCUUGAUUAGUUUAUGUGCCAUGUGUGUUAGUGUUUGUUCAAAUAAAUCUUGUGUUUACUUCUAUCAUCUAGAACUUGCCCGGUUGGUUUUCCAAUGCUAAUGAUAGUAUGUUUGGUUGGAGGAAUGAUCUUAGGCAUUCUUUGUUGUAUUUACAAAACCUCGUUAGCCCAAUGCUAAUGAUACUAUGUUUGGUUGGAGGAAUGACUUAGGCACUCUUUGCUUUUAUUUUUAAAAAUACUUUAGCCCUUAAAGCCUACCUUUGUACAAAUAAUAUCAUUGGUAUCCAAUUUGAGCCUUUAAACCUUUUCUUUAGCCAACUCAUUACAAACCUUUCCGCGUUUGAAAAAUAAUUCCCUCUUUUGAACCGUCCCUCUUUGAACAUUGAGAAUGAGGCUAAAAUCCUAAGUUGGGAGUGAUAUCGAAGUGAAAAAGUGGCAAGGUUGUAUGUUGAGUUUAGGACCUCAUGCCUAAAAAGCGUUUGUUUAAACUAUUCAAGCUCCAAAAAAAAAAUAUGUGUAUAAAGUAUGGAGUCUUGAAUAAAAAUUAGAAGAGGCGUGAGGUCCUAUAUUGGGAACUAUAUGAAAAUGAGGCUAUAGGGGUUUGAAAGAAGCAAAGCGCAAAAGAAUGAAAAAAGUGUGAGUAGUGUUCAAGUAGGGUGAAGUCACUUGUACCCAAAUGUCUAUCCAACCCAUCCCUAAACCUACAUUACAAGCUCAAAAAGUCCUUAUAAGACCUGCAACCAAUCAUUUUUGAAUAAGGGAUGAAUUAAAAUAAGGGCAAGCCUAUGGUAUGAUAUGUUGUAACACUUGAAGUUCUUUGUGAGAGUGAGUGUUCUUGAAAAUUUUGUUCCUUGUGUUGUAUUGUAAAUAUUGUGAAUUUUGGGACUUUCUCUCUUUUGUGACGGCACAUGAAUUAGGAAAGAUUGGUGAAAUUGAGUAAAGUGUGUAUUUUUAGCAAACUAGUACUUUUGAGUCACUUCUUGAGGCAUAUGUUGAUCACUUGAUUAUUUUUGAAAUCCUUUGCACAUUUUUGAAGUUGUUUUUCUUUAUGAGGGAGUUAUUCGGAAAAGAUGUGCAUACUUGAGCCUAAUUGUUAGUACCAACCAAAUUUACUAGUAUGGUGUUUAAAUAGGAGAAUGUGUUAUGAAAGUAAUGGCAAUACCACUUGUGUUUGAAAUGGUGAAUCCUCAUUGAAGUUUUGGAUUUUAUUUGCUUGAGGACAAGAGAAAGCUUUAAGUUGGGGGGUGCUGAUGAGUGGUGAUUUUACCACUCAUUCUAGCCUCUUUUCCUUAGCUUUUAUGUCGUUUUAAGUAUACAAUGAGGUUGUUUAUAGUGGUUAUUGUUAGAUUUUCAGGUAAACGAUGCUAUGAAGUGGUUUGAAUUGAAGUGGAGUGGAAUUGAGCAAAAACAAGGUGAAACCGUGCAAAACCUUCAGUGAAGUCCGCUUCUGCGGAAGUUUGGUCGUAGGUUCGACUUCCGUUUGUGUGAAUUCAUGGCGACUUAUGCAGAAUUAGAGGAAUAGGCAAGAACCGCUUAUGCGGUUGACAUUUCGCUUCUGCCGAAUCGCAGAAGCGGUGGCUUCUCCGCUUAUGCAAUCACUGCUACUAUUGAGGAUGUCCCCUUUUGCUAUGGAAUUUUCGCCUAUGCGGAACUGCUUCUACGGUUACUUUGCCGCAGAAGCGGAAGUCGUGCAUCAUGCCUAGGGCAGAUUUGGCAUUUCAUAUUUUCUCACCCCAAAUUAUUCUUAUACUCGUCCAAGCAGAUAUUUGGAACAUCUUUGGCUUAUUUUUAGUCCAUAGAGACUAGAGAUAACAAGUUUGAAGUUAGGGUUUUGCACAAACACACUUGGGUCUUGAAGAUUAAAGCUUGUGGUUAAGAUUUUCAAACCCAUUUAUGUUUCUUUCUUCAUCUCCUUGCUUUGUAUAAUUUAUCUAAGUGUGUAGUAUUUUAUCCAACACUUAAAUCUUAUUUAUGGAAAUAUUCAUAAUAAGAGUGUGGCUUUUAUACCUUGUAUGCUUAUGUAUUUGAAUGAUUUUUCUAUAUUUAUGAAGUGAAUUGUUGCUUCUUUAAUUAUUCUUAUUUUUUAAUGUUUCCAAAGGGAUUAGAUAACCCUAGGACUUGCCCAUUAACUUCGAAUUAAUUUUGGGAAAAAUAGUUUGGGGUUGGGAAAGAUUAAUUAACAANNNNNNNNNNNNNNNNNNNNNNNNNNNNNNNNNNNNNNNNNNNNNNNNNNNNNNNNNUAAUUAACAAGAACUUGAGGCGUUAACUCUCAUUUUAUAGAUUCUACCUAGGGAUAGGAUUGAACUACUUGUAGCCUUCCGGGUGUGCUUAUUCUUCUAACUGUGAUUAGGGAUAAUUCAGUUAGGAAGUCUUAUUAGUCUUUGAAAGAAGCUAGUUAAGAAUUAUUAUCUGUGGUUAAUUAACAUAAACUCGCUCAUAUUUGUAAAAUCGUGAAAUACAUUGGAUCGUUACUUGAGUGGGAAGAAGCUAUAAAGAAUUAUUAUCUGUGGUUAAUUAACGUAAACUCGCUCAUAUUUGUAAAAUCGUGAAAUACAUUGGAUCGUUACGUGAGUGUAAUUCCCGAUGCUUUCAUACUUGUAGCCAUUGAUCAUUCUACUUGAUUUCUAGGUUAGUUUACAUUUCCUCAUUUUAGAUAUAAAAAUAAUUUUCAACCAAAAAUCUUAGUGUUUGGCACUACGCGACUAGCGAUAAUUUUCUUACAUUCCUAAUCGCCUACACAUUGUUCUCUGUGGGAUUCGACCUCGACUCAUAGUUGGGUAAAUUAUAUUGCUGCGACCGUGUCUAUUACUUUUUAACAGCGGAUUUGGAUGUCACCACCCUCAAAAACCUUAAGGGGUACCAAGUUGUUCGAACUCUCAAGCAAGCUUAUUCUAAGGCAUGGUAAAGUAAAAGGUUUUGAUAACACUAUCCCUCGAAAAUCCUAAUGGAUACAGAUUUAUCUCAUGCUAAGGCAUAACAAAUUUUUAUAUGAUUGACCUUUCUUAAGCCGAAAAUGGGAAAUCCACUCUUCUAAGGCCAUUUCGGUCCAAUUCAAGAGCCUAAGGGCCGUUAUAUUUUUUGAGUUCGAGACUUCACUAUCACUUAACUAAAACUUAAGGGUAAUCCUAUUUUGAGUUGGGAAAAGUGCUCGCUCGAUUAUAAACACUACACUAGUCCAACUACGGUCAAAUUGCCAAGCCUCAUACUUAUGAAAAUUUUCCAAGAUGUGGUCAAAAUAUAGUUUCUACAAGGCAGAAGCUGAAAUAAAAAAAAAGAUAAAAGGGAAUUUUUUAUAUAUGAAAUAUUUACAUGGAUCGGUUAGGAUCCUAAAACAAGAAAUCAAAAAAGGAAAAAAUCCUAAACGCCUAAUUUCCCUCGGGAGAUACACCUUCACCAUCGGAAUCACCACCUCUUUCUUCACCCAAUGACAGUCUUUCUUGACCUGAUCAAGCUCACUCUCACUUAUAGAGCAUAUGUAUCUCGACAUUGGCUCGCAACGGCCAGAGACAGAUGAAGUUUUCUCGACUUUGAAGUCAAAAGAAAGAUGACACCCACCUUGGGAACGCACUCCUCAGGGCGAAUCUCCACUGGUAUUUUAUCAUCGGCUGGCCGCAAUGAAGAGGCGCACUCCUUUUGCGGAAUAAUUUUGGAUGUUUUUUCCAUUUCCAUAAGUUGGAAGAAGGAAUAAGAGAAUGAGGUUUGGUGUUUUGAGGGAAGCUUGAUAAUGAAACCUAGAGAUGAAGUGAAGAGCUUUGGAGAUUAGGUGGAGAUUAAGAGUAAAUUUUGGGCAAAAGAGAAGGAAAUUACAUUUAUAGGAAGAAGGUGACAGAUCAAACGGAUAGGACGUUUCGGUCGCUCUGUCGCUUACGUCAUGAAGAUGACGUCAUGACAGGUCGAGGUACAAAAUCGAAGGCUCAAUUCGUUUCUCCUCAUUACACUCCAACAAAUAAGGGGACAAUCUCUAUACGGUUAAAACUAGGCCCAUCCAAUUUUAUAAUUUGAUCGAGGCUAGAGAAUUUUAUCGAAGCCGACCUCACGACAAAUCAGACCGAGGUACGAGGAUAAGGCACUGAGUUCGAGGUUUAACAAAAAAAAUUGAAUUUCAGUCAAAUCUUUAAUUUUAUAUGAUGGGCCACAAGCAAUGGAUUCAAUCCAAAAUAUAUAAAAGUUUGCUAAUAAAAUGUGGUAGAUAAGUGGAAAAUAAAUUCAAUGACAGAUAAUAUAAUAAAAAUAAAUCAGAGAAGAAAGAAUUAAUAAUCCUUGAUAGGAUAAUGAACGAACAAAGCUUGAAGGGACGAACUAUGGCUAACUUAAGAGCAAGAUGCUAUGAAUUACAAUGUAUAGAAUUGUAAAGAAGAAAAUUGGAUCCCUUUAGCUUUGAAACAUUAGGAAGGGUUUGAGAAGUGACUUCAUUGUUCUCAUGGGAAAGAACAAUAUGAUGAGUGUUUCGAUGGGAAAGAACACUAUGAUGAAUGCCACAUUUUCAUAUAUUUUGAUCUUUCCUUUAAAUCUUGCUUGUUUUUCUUUUAAAUCUUGCUUUAUUUUCCACGCGUAUAUGUGUAUAUUAUGUAGUCCCCCAAAUGUUUGAGCGUUGAAGUAUGAGACCUCGAGCACUUGUUAAUUUCUUGUACUUGGUCCUUUUCCUGAAAAGAAAAAACAUACGGGACUGGGGGUGCGAUUAUAGAUGAAGACUGCUCAACCCGUUUGUGUUUUCUAUCAAAAUAAUUAUAACCCUAGGCCAGAAAUAUUAGUAUAUUCCAUUUUGCCUUACAAGUCAUUACUCAUCAUUUUGUACGGGUAAGAAUUUUGCCUAGCAUCUAAAAUCGUUAGUAAAACCUUAAUAAUUCAAAAUAAAUUUUAACAUGGUGAUACCUGACCGUGGGUAUUUUCUUAGAAGUAAUAUCUCUUUAAAUGAACGGCGUUCCAAUGCGAAGGUAGAACUUUUCCACCCAUUGUCUCCAACUCGUAUGCUCCUUUUCCUGCAAUAUCCCGAAUUCAAUGGGGCCCUUCCCAUAUUGGACUUAGCUUUCCUGAAUUAGCAGCUUUUGUAGACUGAAAAACUUUUUAAACAUGAAGUCCCCAGUUUUAAAGAAUAUGAGGCGUGCUUUUCGGUUGUAAUAUUGUUCAAUGACCUGCUUUGUGCUGUCAUUCUUAUUAAUGCAGCUUCUCUUCUUCCCUCGAGUAAAUCAAGGUUAACUCGCAUAUUUUCAUUAUUUGAUUCCUUCGCUGCAUGUAUAAACCGUGUGCUUGGUUCUCCUAUCUCGACAGGAAUCAAAGCUUCAGAACCAUAAACCAACAAAAAUGGUGUUUAUCUCGUGCUCGUUUUUGUAGUUGUACGAUAAGCCCAUAGAACCCCAAAUAAUACCUCAAGCCAGUUACCUUUUGAUUCCUGUAACCGCUUCUUUAAAUUAUUGAUAAUAACCUUGUUUUUGGAUUCCGCUUGCCCAUUACCUACUGGAUGGUAAUGGACCCACGGUAUCUAUUUCCUAUUUCAUAAAGGGCCACGGGGCUAUGACUGGGUGCAAUAGCUCCGCUAGUCUAUGCAUAUUAUUACUUUACCUUUGUCAUUUGUCGCAUUUAGAUACAAAAUUUUUUGCUUCCUCUACCAUCUUACACUAAUAAUAUCCUACUCUAAUUAAAGUUUUGACGAUCUUCCUCCUACGUGAUUCCCGCAAUGUCCCUCGUGUAUUUCACUCAUUACGUAUUCCAUUUGGGAAGGUACGAGACAUCUUGCUAAAGGUCCACCAAACAAUUUUCGAUAAAGAUUUUCUUGGUUUAGGGCAGCCUUUAUAUGAAGCACAUGUGCUUUCCUUUUGUCAUCAGUACGGUACCGUACUGCAAAAAAGCAACAAUUUCGUUUCUCCAAUCCCAAGUUAAAUUAUUAAAAUGUACCUUAUUUUUAUCAGGUUCAAGAACGGAAUGAAAUAAAUGUAUAACUGAAGUAUUUGCAUCGUUUUCCACGUCAGCAGCAAACGCGAGAUUGGCCAAAGCAUCUAUUUCAACAAUUUCAUCUCUUGGUAUUUGUACAACCUUCGAGUUUUGUAAUUGCUUUAUCAAUUCACGUACUCUUUCUAAGUAUUGCUGCAUUCGUGCUUCCCUGGCUGUAUAAGUCUCCAGCAUUUGAUUAAUCCCGAGUUGUGAAUCACUUUUGAUUAUAAUUUGGGUUAUGCCAAGUUCUCGUGCCAGUUCCAAACCUGCAAUCAUAACUUUAUACUCUGCUUCAUUAUUAGUUAUAGAAUGACAUUUUAUAGCUUGUCUAGUUAUUUCGCCCAUAGGUGGUACCAGAAAAAUUCCUAAACCUGCGCCUUUUACAUUAGAUAAACCGUCAGUAAAUAAAAUCCAAGUCCCCUAAUUUACACCUUUGAAACCUUGUAACUCUAUUUUCACUUUUAGUUACAUCCCUUGGUUAAAAUAAGCCAAGAAAUCAGAUAAUACUUGAGAUUUUAUAGCAGUUUUAGGUUGAUAAGUGAUGUACUCACUUAAUUCAAUAGCCCAUUUUGCUAACCUCCCUGAUAAUUCAUGUUUAUGUAAUAGGAAAGCAGUUACUACAAUGAUGGGAUGGCAUUGAAAACAAGGUCUUAAUUUUCCAGAUGCAUAAUUAAAGCAAGUCCUAGUUUUUCUAAUUGCAGAUAUCGUGUUUCUACAUCUAACAAAGAUUUACUAACAUAAUAGAUAGGAGAUUGUUUACCUUGGUUCUCUCGGGCUAAUACAACACUUAACCCUACUUCUGAGACGGCAAGAUAAAUAAGUAAUUUUUCCCUUGCCUUUGGCUUCGCCAGCAACGAUGGAUUUGAUAAAUAUGUUCUCAAAUUUCUAAGUGCUUGUUGACAAUCUUCGUUCCAUUCGAAAUGAUCUUACUCUUUAAGUGCUUAGAAAAAUUUGAAACACUUUUCCGAAGAUUUGGAAAUGAAUCUCCCAAAAGCUGCAAUUCUUCCCCUUAGUCUUUGGACCUCUUUUUUUACUUGUAAGCACGUCAGGGAUUUCCUAUAUUGCUUUUAUCUGUGAAGGGUUUACUUCAAUUCCAUAGUUAGAAACAAGAAAACCCAAAAUCUUACCUGAUGCGACCCCAAACACACAUUUUUCUAGAUUGAGCUUCAUAUUAAAUUUUCGCAAAAUUUGAAAUGUUUCAGACAAAUGUGAUAUAAGAUCAUUUGAAUGCUGAGUUUUGACGAGCAUAUCGUCUAUAUAUACCUCCAUGGUUUUUUCCAAAUGUUCUUGGAACGUUUUUGUAACCAAACUUUGAUAGGUUGCCCCUGCAUUUUUUAGGCCAAAGGGCAUUACUUUAUAAUAGUAAGUCCCCUUGUAUGUGAUGAAAGAGGUUUUCUCUUCAUCUCUUGGAUACAUUUUGAUUUGGUUGUAACCUGAAUAUGCAUCUAAAAAACUUGAUAGCUCAUGCCCUGCAGUAGCAUCAAUUAGCUGAUCUAAUUGUGGUAAAGGGAAAGAAUCGUUUGGGAAAUAUUUGUUGAGAUGUGUAUAAUCCACACAGACUCGCCAUUUACCAUUCUUUUUAGGCACCAAAACUGUAUUAGCUAACCAAAUAGGAUACUUUACCUCGCGGAUAGAAUUGAUUUUUAACAAUUUCUGGACCUCGUCUUGAAUCACUUGAUUUUUGAAAGCUCCUUGAUUUCUUUUCUUUUGCUUUAUUGGUGUGUACGAUGGGUCUUCAUUUAACUUGUGGGUCAUUACCUCCGGUGGUAUACAUGUCAUAUCAACAUGGCACCAAGAAAAACAAUCCACAUUAGCUUUUAAAAAUUUAAUUAACAUACCUCUCAUGUCUGGGUUUAGGUUUGCUCCAAUAUAAAUCUUUCGCUCGGGCCAUUGUUCAAACAAUAUAAUAGAUUUCAAUUCUUCAAUUGUUGUUUUAAUGUUUUUAUUCUCCUCUGGCUCUUGAAUUGUGUUGGGUCUCGAGUCUAUGUCUGUUCAUUCCUGUUCAGUUGAGGUUUGAACUAUGAUGUCCUCAACUGUUCUCUGUGAUUUCUAUUUCUCUUCAUUUACAGUGCUCGCAUAUGUCGCAACAUUAAUACUCCUAGCUGCAUGUUGAUCUCCACAAAUUUGGCAAAUUCCCCAAGGUGAUGGGAAUUUAAUAACUUGAUGUAGAGUUGAUGGGACAAUAUCCAUUUCAUGGAUCCAUGGUCACCCCAGGAUCAUGUUAUACGCCAUUUCCAUAUCUACCACUUGAAAUUUAGUUUCUUUAGUAACACCUUCUGCAAAUCUAGACAAGGUAUUGCACCUUCAAAAUUAUUUUUUCCUCAGCUUGCAUUUCACGCAAUACCCUUAGUAGGAUAAUAUUUACAGAACUCCCUGGAUCAAUCAAAACUCGUUUCACAUUAGUAUCAUAUACAAGUAGAGAUAUUACCAAUGUGUCAUUAUAUGGAGAUAAAACAGCAUCUGCAUCUGCAUUAUCAAAGGUAAUAAUUUCUUCCAAGACUUGUCGUACCCCUUUCCCGUGGGUUAUAGUGACUUUAGAAACUUCAUUACAUGUUUUAUACGUUACACCGUUGAUAUAUUCUCCCCCGCUUAUGACGUUGACAGUUUUUUGGGAGAUGGUAUUUUUGGAGGCACUGGCCUAUUUUUCAUGUAAGCCUCCUUGCCUUUUUCACUGAACAACUCAGUAAGAUACCCUUUAUUCAACAAAUGAUCAACUUCACUUUGUAAAAGUCUGCACUCAGAUGUUUUAUGGCCAUGAUCAUUAUGAAAUUCACACCAAUGGUCAGGGAUAUGCCGGUUUGGAUUUGACCUCAUCUCUUUUGUACAUCGAACCUUAUCUCCCAUGCUUAUCAAAACAGCCACGAGCUCGGAGGUGGUGACGUUGAAAUUAUAGCGAUUGAAUCUCGCCUAUAAACUUCUGUCAUCAUCUUGUGACUCUUGUUAACUUCGCUCGUUCCCAAAUCUAGAUGAGGAACCUGGCUCAUUAUUUCUAAAUUUGUGAUCGUACCUUUGGUUAUCCGAAUCGUGAGUCUCUUCCCGUAGGUCCCAUAUAUGGCCCGUACCUAUUUUAUCGGACCUUUUUUCAUUUUCUGAACGUCUUGAACUUACAUUUUUCUCUUUUUGGAAUCUUGGAACGGUAUCCUCUUCAAUCCGCAACUUUGUGUUGUACCUAUUAUAAACAGCAUUCCACGUUGUAACAGGAAAUUCUCGAAGGCUUUCCUUGAGUCUCCUCGUAGCCUCCGAACGUCUUUCAUUCAAAUUACUCGUGAAUGCUUUAGCGGCCCAAUUGUCAAGUACACUCGAUAAAGUCAUUCUUUCACGUGGAAAUCUAUCAACGAAUUAUCGAAGUAGUUCUGAAUCUCCUUGCUUGAUUUUGAAGAUAUCCUCCAUUCUUUUAUCUACCUUUUGGGCUCCCGAAUGUGCUUUAAUGAAAGAAUAUGCAAGCUCAGGAAAAUAACUUGUAGAAUUUUUGGGUAAGAGAGAAUACCAAGUUAACACCCCUUUGGUAAGUGUUUCACAAAAUAUUUUGACCAAGACUGAUUCAAUCUCCUGUUUCGUCAAAUCAUUUCCCUUCAUGCUAGUUGUGAAUGUCGUCAUGUAGUCUCGUGGGUCUGUUGUUCCAUUAUACUUUGGGAUAUCAGACAUUCUGAAUUUCUUUGAAAUUGGUAGGGGGAAGCACUUGACUUCCACGGUUAUUGUGAAUAUUUAUCCAUGUCCACUCCUUUGAUUACAGGUGGAACUCCGGGGAUUUGUUCUAUGCGGUCAUUUUCUUUCUUGAGAGGUUUCUGCAAGGUUACUACUAAAGUUUGCAAAUGAGAAUUAGUUAAAUCACCUGGUUCUCCCUCAUGUGAUUCGUUGGGGUUCCUCCAUUUCUAGAAUUAUCAAGUCCGGAACGGGGAUUCUCCAACGUAUUGUUAUUGGGUGUAGGUGUGGGUGGUGCAGCAUGUAAUCGAAUAAGUAGAGCAUGAAGAGCUUUGUUAACCUAUGCAUCAAUUACUUUUUUAAAGCCUCAUCUUCCCCUUCGAAAUGUUUAGAUUGCUCUUGUUCACCAGUAUGAGACUCAAGAGUGCCUUCACGAGAUUGUCGUGGUGAACCAUGUGGGGAAGGGACCAGGUGAAUGUUUGCAAAUCUCUCUGAUCUUGUUGGGUUUGAUUUUCCUGGUUUCCUAAGGUGUUGCCAUUGUUGUUUGUCAUAGUAGAUGGAAAUUGAUUAUUUGAUUCCCGAUAACGGAACCAAUUUAUUUAACCAAAAAACUGGGACUUUGGCCAAAACUAGGAAUUAAAAAGAAUACGGGUUACUGAUAAUCAAGAAAUAAAAUAAGAAAAGACUUUGAGGGCAAAUAAAAAGCAAAGAAAUCAGAUUGUAUUUUAAUAAUGUCUCAAUAGUACUUCCUCUGUUCACAAAUAUUCUAACCCCCUUCUUUUAUAGUAAAUUCUAUGGGAAUGUGUAUUGCAUUUGUCUUAAUAAGGCAACUAUGAGCAAUAAAUGAUAUUAAAAGAAACGUUACUCAAUUAUUUACAUUAAAUAUAAAUUCUCUAACGUAUUUGGCAUUUAAUAUUGAAUUUGGCCCCUUUUGCGCCAGUCAGAUACAUUUUCUUGAUCAUCGAGCUUUAAAUGGCCUGAAUAGGUAUGAGCUUCGUGUUAUCCUAAUAACAACUCGUGCCUCUUUAAGUAUCUUCUCCCGUAUUUGUUGUUGCUCGUGCCUCGUGACUAAUUAUAAUGCUUUGAUACAUGUGUCAUGACACGCCACCUUCAAUAUGUAAAUCAUUUCCUUGAUUCUUCUUGAUCCUCGAGCUUUAAAUGACUUGAAUAGAUAUGAGCUUCGUAUUAUUUGAGUAACAACCCGUUCCUCUUUAAGUAUCUUCUCCCGUAUCUGUUGUUGCUCGUGCCUCGUGGCUAAUUAUAAUGCUUUGACCAUUUGAGUGAUACACGUGUCAUGACACGUCACCUUCAAUAUGUAAAUUCAUUUUUUCCCAACACAUUCGAGGAUCGAUAUACCUAUCGAAGAUCGAGGCCAGUCGCGAUCAAGACCAAAUGAGACAGGCAUCGAGCAAAGUACAAUAACAUAAAGGCGAGAUAUCCGUGACUAGCCGAAGAUCAUGGCGUAAAUCUCGGAACAGAUCAAAUCAAGGGCAGUUAUUUAGUUAAUCAUGAGAUUUGCUUUCGUAAUUAGGAUAGUACCAUAACUAGGAUUCCUCUGCUAUAUAAAGAUGGCCCUAAUCAUUUUGUAACUAUCUCACAUUCACGCAUAUCAAAGCAAUACAAUACUUUCUAGCUUAUAUUCUUGUUCAUCAGUUAGUUUGUUUCUAAGCUAUUUUGAGCACCAAUCAGUUCGAGGGCACUCAAGCUCGAGGGUUUAAUCACGUUUUAAGACUGGUUUGCGUCAUCUCAUUGUUAAUGUAUACUGUUAAUCUUUACGUUUAUCCAUUGGUAUUAGGUGAAAUCACGUAUUCUUUAAACAACAUUAUAAGUUUAAUUGUUAUCUAAUUUUUAGGGUAAACACCUAUAAUCCUAAACUAAUUUAUCCCACCUGGGGCGUGAGAUAAAAUAAUACCAAAUUUAGUGAGAUAAGAUAGAAUAUUCAUGAUUAAGUCUCGAACUAAGUUUAUCCCUGCUUGAUUGACGGUAUAAAUUGAUGUAGAGAUAAAUUAAUAUCAUCAACCAAUCAUGGUAUAAAUUUGAUACCCCGCUUUAUCUCACGUUAUCCGAUUUUAUCACGCAUACCAAAUGACCCCUUGGUUAAUAAAAGGAAAUCUAUCCUAUUUUGUAACGGCUAUUGAUACAUAAGUUGCUUUCUGAACUUGUGCCGAAAAGUGAGUUUUCAUCCCAACUUUUACGGGUAUCAUUUUUCUAUCCUAUACUUGUUUAUACUGAAUUUGUGCCAAAAAUUUAAAAAAAAUAAAGUGGUGGCGCGGCUUAUCAAAAUGUUAAGCAAAAAAAUAAUAUUUUUUGAAAAAAAUAAAAUAUAUUUUCGGGCUUCCCCUCCCUCACUCCUACCCCUACCCCCACCCCCACUUCUCUUCAUCUUCACUCUCCAUACACACACACACACACAAAAAUCCCCUAUUUCUUCUCCAUUUUCAUUCCACUCCUUUUUAAGAGCAGAUUCUUUUGCUCUUUUCCCUUUUUUUUCUUCAACUUUCAGAUUCCUACGGCACAUUUUCCCAUUUCUUUCUUCAGCUCCUCCGGCAAACUUCUAUAUGUUUCGAUGAUUCAACAAACAAAACCCAACUAGAUCUCGACCCCUUUAUCACCAACCUAUGGCAUCAUAAAUUUUGUCUAGUAAAUUUUAUUUCUUUCUUAUUUUUUUCCUCUUUGAACUCAACAAAUUAAUUCAUUCAAAUAAAUCAAAGCCAUGAACUCGCUGAUAAUGGGGGCUUUGGUGGUAGGUAAAAAAAGAAAAAGAAUAAUAUGUGAAUAAAAAAGAAAAUAGAAAAAUAGUCAAAAAAUUUAAUUAUUGUAUUUCUGGCAUGGCGUUGAUGUGGCGCUAAUGUGGCAUGCAUGUGUGGAAUACCCUAAACUAUGAAAGUGGUAUUAUGCUUCAUAAGGUGAUAUUAAAUUCACUUUGGACAAGUAUAGGGAGUAUUAGAACACUCGUAAAGUUUGGGAUAGAAACUCACUUUUCGGCCAUGUACAUGGGCGGAUGCAGUUUUGUUUUCGACGGCAGAGUAAAAAUUUAUAUGUAAAAAUUCACUAAAAAAUAAAAAGUAGAUUUGAACCCAUAACUUUAAAAAUAUAAUGUGUUUUAUCUUAAAAGCUUUAAAAAUUAAAACGAUAAGAUUUAAAUGCUUGAUCCACUUCUGCUUGUUAGACUCUUCCGUAUAGCUUAAGGAAAAUUUAAAUAUUUUCCUAAAUUAAUAUUCUCAAAUUAAGUUAGAUAUUUGUCCAAAACAGUUCCCAACUUUGCACCAAUUCGGUAUGAGUUUACUUCAAUGGGAGGUUUAAGCAGAGGAAGCACAAUCUUCCAACAAAAUCUGAAGUUAACACAGUUAGGUAAAAGGGGUCAAAUAGAUGAAGCCAUUAAAAUAUUCAAUAGAAUCACACACCCAAAUACUGUCACCUACAACUCCAUGAUCUCUGUCUAUGCGAAAAAUGGCAGAAUAUACGAUGCACGCAAGGUGUUCGACAAAAUGCGGCUCAAAAAUUUGGUCUCUUGGAAUACAAUGAUUAGUGGGUAUUUGCUUAAUGGCCAGGUUGAUAAAGCAUGCGAACUGUUUGAUAAAAUGCCCGAAAGAGACCAUUUCACUUAUGCAUCGAUGAUUACUUGUUUUGCGCGUAAUGAGGAGCUUGAAAAGGCUAGAAAUGUGUUUGAGUCACUUCCUGAUAAAAGUAAUGUAGCUUGUUGGAAUGCAAUGCUUACAGGGUAUGCAAAAGCUGGACGAUUAAAUGAUGCUAGGAAAAUGUUUGAUGAAAUGCCAAUAAAGAAUUUAGUUUCAUGGAAUUCGAUCCUGUCAGGGUAUACCCAGAAUGGGGAAAUGGAAUUUGGAGUGAAGUUUUUCGAGGAGAUGGAAGAGAAGGAUAUCAUUUCUUGGAAUUUAUUAUUGGACGGGUUUAUUGGGAUUGGGAAUUUGGAUUCUGCUAAAGAGGUUUUUGCUAAGAUUCCUUAUCCAAAUGUUGUUUCACGGGUGACAAUGCUGAGUGGAUUUGCGAGAUAUGGGAUGGUAUCAGCAGCUGAAAGGAUUUUUGAGCAAAUGCCAGAGAAAAAUGAGGUUGCUUGGAAUGCCAUGUUAGCUGCAUAUGUUCAGAAUGGCACAAUUGACAUGGCUGCUUCAUUAUUUAAUAAAAUGUCCCAGCGGAGUGUCGUGGCUUACACAACCAUGAUUGAUGGUUAUGUUCGUGCUGGAAAGCUCAAAGAAGCAAGGGAUUUGUUGGAUAGUAUGCCGUACAAAAAUGUUGGUGCACGAACAGCAAUGAUUUCAGGGUACAUCCAAAACAAUAGGGUGGAUGAAGCUCGUCGCGUAUUUGAUCGAACUGCUACUCGCGAUGUUGUUUGUUGGAAUACAAUGAUUGCAGGCUAUGCUCAAUGUGGAAGAAUUGAUGAAGCUUUAGACCUGUUUAAAAAGAUGGAACCAAAGAGCAUAACUGUUUGGAAUACCAUAAUAACAGGUUAUGCUCAGGUGGGACAAGUGGAAAAAGCACUUGAGAUCUUUGAGAAGAUGGGAGAAAGAAAUGUAAUUUCUUGGAACUCUCUAAUUUCUGGUUAUACACAAAAUGGUUUCUAUAUAGAUGCGCUUAAACAUUUUAUCAUGAUGGCACGUGAUGGCAAGAAACCAGAUCAGUCUACAUUUGCGUCAGUAUUAAGUUCAUGUUCCAAUCUUGCAGCUGAGCAUAUAGGGAAGCAAAUUCACCAAGUGGUAAUAAAAUCAGGUUAUGUGAAAAAUUUAUCAGCUUGUAAUGCUUUAAUAAUUACGUAUGCGAAGUGUGGAAAUAUCUUUGAUGCAGAAAAGAUGUUUAAAGAUGUUGAAAAUGCUGAUAUUGUAUCCUGGAAUUCGUUGCUUGCUGGAUAUGCUUUAAAUGGAUAUGGUGAGGAGGCUGUCAAACUUUUCGAAGGGAUGGAAGAAACGGAAGUGGUUCCUGAUGAAGUGACGUUUGUUAGUGUUUUAUCUGCAUGUAAGCAUGCUGGCUUAAGUGAUGCUGGUGCAAAUUUAUUUGAGCACAUGACCAAAAAGUAUUCUAUCAAUCCUUCAUCUGAACAUUAUGCUUGCAUGGUUGACUUACUUGGGCGAGCAGGGAGGUUAGAUGAUGCUUUCUGUUUAAUUAAGGAUAUGAAAACAAAAGUCACUCCAGAAAUGUGGGGUGCCCUAUUUGGGGCUUGUCGCAUGCAUAAUAAUCUAAAUAUCGCUGGCUGUGCUAUUGAGAAGCUUCUUGAACUUGAACCUCAAACAUCUAGAAAUUUGGUUGUCUUAUCAAACAUGUAUGCUGACCUUGGAAGAUGGGCUGAUGUGGAGAGAGUUAAGAUGCUUUACGUUUAAUUAAGGAUAUAAAAACAAAAGUCACUCCAGAAAUGUGGGGUGCCCUAUUUGGGGCUUGUCGCAUGCAUAAUAAUCUAAAGAUCGCUGGUUGUGCUAUUGAGAAGCUUCUUGAACUUGAACCUCAAACAUCUACGAAUUUGGUUGUCUUAUCAAACAUGUAUGCUGACCUUGGAAGAUGGGGUGAUGUGGAGAGAGUUAGGGAAACAAUAAAAAAGAGUGGAGCAGGUAGACUACCUGGAUGUAGCUGGAUUGAGGAUAGAAAACAGUUGCUUGUUUUUCUUUGUGGUGAUGAUACUUCACCACAGGCAGCGGAGAAUUUUAACGUGUUAUUAACCUUAACUGCACAGAUGAUAGAUAUGUACCAUAUGCCUGCCAUGACAUCAUUUGGUCUUGACUUCGAUAACUGAGCCAUAAUCAUGUAUUUUUAAGUGUCUAACAUGCAUUCACAUAAUUGUUUCUUGUUUACCCCUCUGUAUUCUUGAAGUCGUAUUAGACGAGGGUACCUGAUGAUGCUUUGAUGCCAUCUGAAGCAGCUGCAUGUCAGAUGGAGCAUUUAAUUGUGGUUCCAAGGUGGUAAGUGAUAUUAGGAUAUAGCCAAAUGCGGUGAUGAAUGAGCAUUUGCUUGCUGGUGUUAGAAGAUAUUGCCAAUUUCACCGUACAAUGGGAUUCUGAAGUGUGGCAUUGCGGAAUUUAUUCGUUGAGAGAUUUGACUGGAGAUCAGUCUGCUUGUAAAGAGGAGGAAUUAAGUGUCCUCCAGUUUGAGUGCAAGGUUGCUGCUUUGCCAGGGUUUUUUCCACAUUCAACCAUUAACCAAAGAGGGAAGCGAGCAAGAGAAAGGGCUGUGGUGGCUGCAGGAGAAAGAAAUAAAGACCAAAGGAAAAUAGGGAAAUGAGAACCUCCCUAAACAUACGUCAGAAAGGUGGGAAAGGAUCAAGCCCUCAUGAUUGUGCAUCCAAUUUAAGGUUUUCUUUGUUAUUACCCUGCCCCCACUCUCUUGGGGAUCUGCUGACAAAUCCACAAAGAACGACAUCUUAGUAGGUAAGUUUUCAGCUAUAUAUAGAUCUGUUGUGCUUAUGCUUUUCUAAGCCGAGGGUAUAUUGGAAAUAAACUCUCUAUCCUCACAAGGUAGGGGUAAGGUCUGCAUACACACUAUCCUCCCCAGACCCCAC